UUUCUGUUUUGAUUGUAGUAAUUUCCUUGUUCUGUUGAUUGAAUCUCUGUUCUCUCUCACCAUGUAGCUUGGUGGGAGCUCAUGCAUCUUAUUGCUGUGAUCUGGACACAAGGCUUGGCACCUGACCUAUUACUGAACAAACAAGUAACAUGAUGUCUUUUGGAGAUAAGUUCAGGAAUGCCUAAGCAAUCAGAGCUGUCUUCACUCCGUGGUGAGAAGCCCACAGAGUCGAGGCCAAGACUGGAGCAAAGCUAGAGUCAUGAUCUUCAAUCUGGAGCUCCCGUUGGGAUGACAGGAACCCAGCUACUCUCCAAUUGCCAUUGCCAGAAGCUGCAAGCAAGAGCCAGAGCUAUGUGCAGAACCCAGUUGAAAAGUAGAGAGAGACACACAGUGAGAGAGAUAUCUUCCAUUUACUGAUUUAUUCCUCAAAUGGAUGCAACAACCAGAGCUGGAAGAGACCAAUGUUUGGAGCAUAAACUCAAUCUGGAUCUCCCAUGUGGGUGGCAAGAAAUCAAGUACUUGAGCCAUCAUCACUUGCUUCUGAAGGAGAACAUAAAUAGGAAUUUAUUGGAAGCAGAGAUGGGACUUAAACCUAGGCAUUCCAGCAUGAGAUGUGGGAGUUCCCAAUGGCAUCUUCUUAUAAACUCAAAUUUAAGCCAAUGUGUAUUUUCUCUCCAAGGCAAAUUUUGAAAUGAUAAGCAAAUAGCUAAGUUUAUUGCUUGGAAUAAAUGCCAUCUUUCUUCUGAAUGCUAAAAAUAAAUAAAUAAAUAAAUAAAACGCUUCAAAACA